CGCUCCUUAGCUCAGCUGGGAGAGCAACAGACUGAAGCAAAUCCUCUUCAGGACAAUCUGGAGGUCCCGUGUUCAAUCCACGGAGGGGCCA